rnacentral:rRNA from 1 species
CAGUAGCCGCGGGAAUACGUAGGGUGCGAGCGUUAAUCGGAAUUACUGGGCGUAAAGCGUGCGCAGGCGGUUUUGUAAGACAGGCGUGAAAUCCCCGGGCUUAACCUGGGAAUGGCGCUUGUGACUGCAAGGCUAGAGUGCGUCAGAGGGGGGUAGAAUUCCACGUGUAGCAGUGAAAUGCGUAGAGAUGUGGAGGAAUACCGAUGGCGAAGGCAGCCCCCUGGGACGAGACUGACGCUCAUGCACGAAAGCGUGGGGAACAAACAGGAUUAGAUACCCCCGUAGUCCCUGUCUCUUAUAC